rnacentral:lncRNA from 1 species
GAUUAGCAAAAAGCAAAAACGGAUUUCUCUUAUCCGCCUGUAACUCUCCUCCCCUUUCCCUUUCUCUGGAACUCAAAUCCUCCCUGAGGAAGAUAAAUCCUAACUGGUGUAUAACAGACAUCAACCUACCGCUUCGCCUGGCGGAUUUGAGGCCGGCGGCACGGCUGCUGCUUCUCUGGAUCGCGGUCGAUCAGGGCAUCUCGUGGGUGCCGAGGGAGUGCUGCUGCCGGAUUCGAUAUCGCCACCAUCCCUAUUGCCACCGAUGAGAUCCAUUUUGUAUCGGCAUUCUUCUUACGCCCUAAUGCCUCCGCCUCUUGCUGUGGCAUCUUUGGUGGCCUCUCCUGUGCGUGCACGUGCCUCGGCGCCGGUCUUUCCCACGUCUUUUGCGGUUGACUGUGCUUCGAUUUCGUCCCUCAGUCUCACGAAUAGCUCCCUGCUGCUGGUCCAUAUGAUGUUGAUGUUGAUGCUCGGGAAGCUGCUGGUUCAUCCGUUCAUGUUGAUGUUGAUGCUCGGAGGCGUGCGAUUUUGUUGGCCAAAUGGCCUAUUGAUUCUACGGAUGGUAUUGUUUCUUUUCUUUGUUUUUUGUAUUUUUCCUCUCCUUUUCUGUUUUUUCUACAUUUCAUCUUCUGCAUUUGCUUGCUACUCAUAUUCAGAGGGAUACUCACUGAUGCGUAUGUUAUCCGAUUAAUACAUCAUCUGUACCAUAAGGUUAAUCUCAAUCUUCUUCUCCUGGUUGUGCAGGCUAGCUGACUACUCUGUUUUCUGUUUUAUGGCGCUUUAACCGUUUCAUAGGCUGUAUGGACUGCCAGCUAUCUACUUCAUGUUCUGCUAUAUGUUAUCUGUCUGUUAUGGUGUGCCUCUUGGUAUUACCAAUAGGUAUAUAUAUGUACUACUAAUGCCACUAUGUAUGAAUAAUCAGAUGUUUGUGUGCAUCUGGGAGGUUGGUCUGAGGGUAAAGCAGAAAUAUUUGUGUGCAUCUAGGAGGUUGCUUUGGAAUUCAAGUGAGAUCAGAAACUUUUUGUGCGAUUUUGACAUGUGAUGUAUCGCACCUGGGUGCAAAACAUACAUGCUAAUUUGGUGACCUGGAGUGAUCUUGAUAAGCAGCAUGAUUUUUUUCAGCUAAUGCAUACACGAUUACAGAAUAUUGUGAGCAGCUUUAUGAUAUGGUUCAACUUAUUCUUUAUAUUGCAGGUUAACUGGUAUUUCUUUGCUUCAGUGGACUCUACUUGCCAUGCUACAUCUCAGAUUCUAGGAUGUAGUUUCUGUUAUUUCUUUUAUCCUCAUCGCUGAAUGUUCCCGUUUUUACAUCAGUAUGUCUAAUUGGACCACACUGCUAUUUCGAUUUGAUAAAAAAGACGCACACCUUUCUGUGUUAUUAGUGUCAAGAUGUCUUUCUACUUGUGUUUUCUACCGGUUAGGUAUAAUAAUUUCUAUGUCUCACUAGCUGCACACAAUCAACUACUUAUUUGGCUUAUUUCUAUGGAGAAUAACAUUUCAGGGUUACAUUAAUGUGUCGACACCAUGAUUGUAAUCUACAGAACACAGGUGCUAAAGUGCAAGAAAACUGUAGGAUAAUCUCAUCGGCACCGUUAUUUUAGUCUAAUACUAAUAUGCAAACAGAGACUGUUACAUAAGUCAGUUUUUUUAUCUUGAUUUAGAUUUCUUCAGUUCUAUAGCCAGAUUUCCAUUUAUUAACUGAUUUAUUUGACCUUUCAAUCGUCUUUUGCUAAAAAUUUCCUUAUUAGCUACAUGAAAACACAUCUUAAUAUUGUUUGUUCUCAAUCUUUUCCCCAAGCAAUGUCGGUGCUCUAAGAGUUUAUACAAUGCUGACAUAAGCUUUCUGUUUCGUCAAUCAGUUUAUCUCCUUGCUGUAUGUGUACAAAUUUGCUUAUUUAUGAUAAUUUUUUACAUGAAACUUGCUG